AUUAUUUAAUUUUUUGUUAACUUCCAGGAUUUUCAAAAGCUUCCACCAACCACAUCAUGCUUGGAUUCCAGAACUGAAUAAAUAGGUCAAUCAGAAAUGAGAAGAGUCUUUUUGGAAUCAGAUCAUAAAGGUGAAAAGUCUCCUUAUCUGCCAAAGGAAAUUUGAAGACAAAAGCUAUGACAUUCGUUUCAAUGGCUGCUUUGAGCUGAAUUUAUAGCGAGAGUUGUAAGUGAUGAUUAAAAACUCGGAUAUUUGGCAAAACAAGAUCAACAAAGACGACAACUAAAACUCCAGGAAUGAAUGAAAGGUGCAUCUAUGAUGGGCAUAUUUGCUAAAGAAAUUAGCACAAAUAAAAAGAAGUCACAUUUGGCAUAAAGAUAAGAAGAAAUUCUUGCCUCCUCUGAACAAGAGGCACAGACCUGGGGAUGGAAUUGUUCUUAAACAGUGGGCUCCUUGGGUUCUCACCAUGCAUCUUACACCUGAGUGAAUUUGGGGGACCUUGACCUAUUCUCAGCCACAUUUUCUUAACUUUUACUAUUUACUCAGGUUACAGAAAAUGCUUCUGGGAAACCAGUUUUGGGAGUCAACUUUUCUUGCUACCAAAAGAAAAUGAAAGAAAAGAAAAGAAAAGAAGAGAAGAGAAAAGAAAAGAAAAGAAAAGAAAAGAAAAGGU
rnacentral:lncRNA from 1 species